GCCUAUUGCUAGGGGUCUGUAAAUCCUUAUUUUUAUAUGGUUUUUGCAGUGAGAAACACCCUUCGAACCUGAUGCGGGUCAUACCGCCGUAGGGAAGCGCCUUUAUGCUCCU
rnacentral:ncRNA from 2 species